GUGGGUGUAGCUCAGGGGUAGAGCACGUGCUUAGUGUGCAUGAGGUCCUGGGUCCAAUCCCCAGUACCUUCA
rnacentral:tRNA from 1 species